rnacentral:rRNA from 1 species
UCAAGCUAUAAAGAGCAUAGGACGAAUGCCUUGGCAUCAGGAGCCGAAGAAGGACGCGAUUAACUGCGAUAAGCCUCGGGGAGCUGUAAAUAAGCGCUAUAUCCGGGGAUUUCCGAAUGGGGAAACCCACACGGAGAAGAUCCGUGUAUCCUUACAUGAAUUCAUAGUGUAAGGAAGGGAACCCGCUGAACUGAAACAUCUAAGUAGGCGGAGGAAGAGAAAUCAAAAGAGAUUCUGCGAGUAGUGGCGAGCGAAAGCGGAAGAGGCUAAACCGAACACAGCAAUGUGAUCGGGGUUUCGGACUGAAUAAGGGAGCAAGGAGCUUAGGAGAACGGCAUGGGAAGGCCGACCGGAGGAUGUGAGAGUCAUGUAUCCGAAAAGCGAAAUGCCCCGACAGGAUCCAGAGUACCAGCGGACACGAGGAAUCCGCUGGGAAGACGGGGGGACCACCCUCCAAGCCUAAAUACUACCUGAUGACCGAUAGAGGAGAAGUACUGUGAAGGAAAGGUGAAAAGAACCCCGGGAGGGGAGUGAAAGAGAACCUGAAACCCUAUGUUUACAAGCACACAAAGCGCGUUAAAGCGCGAUGUGGUACUUUUUGUAGAACGGUCCGGCGAGUUAUUGUACGCAGCGAGGUUAAGUACUUCAGGUACGGAGCCGCAGGGAAACCGAGGGUUAAGAGCCCGUAUAGUUGCGUGUAAUAGACCCGAAACCGGGUGACCUAUCCAUGAGCAGGUUGAAGUGAGGGUAAAACCUCAUGGAGGACCGAACCGACCCCCGUUGAAAAGUUGGCGGAUGACUUGUGGAUAGCGGAGAAAUUCCAAUCGAACCCGGAUAUAGCUGGUUCUCCCCGAAAUAGCUUUAGGGCUAGCCUUGCAGUAAGUUUACCGGAGGUAAAGCACUGAAUAGAGGAGGGGCCGAGAGGUUACCAAUUCUUAUCAAACUCAGAAUGCCGGAUAAAUAUAUGCAGGAGUCAGACUACGUGAGAUAAGUCUCGUGGUCAAAAGGGAAACAGCCCAGACCUACAGCUAAGGUCCCCAAUGUAUGCUAAGUGGAGAAGGAUGUGACGAUGCUAAAACAACUAGGAUGUUGGCUUAGAAGCAGCCACUCAUUCAAAGAGUGCGUAAUAGCUCACUAGUCGAGUGCCGUCGCGCCGAAGAUUUAACGGGGCUGAAGCAUACAACCGAAGCUUAGGCAGUAGAAAUACUGGGUAGGGGAGCGUUCUCAUCGGGGUGAAGCAUCACCGGAAGGAGGUGUGGACUGAUGAGAAGUGAGAAUGCCGGAAUGAGUAGCGAGAAUUGCGUGAGAAUCGUAAUGGCCGAAAAUCUAAGGUUUCCUGGGGUAGGUUCGUCCGCCCAGGGUAAGCCGGGGGCUAAGGCGAGGCCGAGAGGCGUAGUCGAUGCACAUACGGUAGAGAUUCCGUAGCCUCCACAAUUUAAGUACACGGACACACUUAUGAAGUGCUGACCGGGCGUUGGUUGACCCGGAACGAAAGCGACUGAAAUAUAGUAAGGAAGAUGCAUGACAGGGUGGCGAGAAAAGGUGUAUGUAUAGAAGUGGAGCCCGUACCGCAAACCGACACAGGUAGAUGAGGAGAGAAUCCUAAGGCCAUCGGGAGAAGGGUUGUUAAGGAACUCGGCAUAUUGACCCCGUAACUUCGGGAGAAGGGGUGCCUGCGCAAGCAGGCCGCAGUGAAAAGGCCCAGGCAACUGUUUACCAAAAACACAGGUCUCUGCAAAAGCGUAAGCUGAAGUAUAGGGGCUGACGCCUGCCCGGUGCCGGAAGGUCAAGGGGAUUGCUUAGCGCAAGCGAAGGCAAGAACUUAAGCCCCGGUAAACGGCGGCCGUAACUAUAACGGUCCUAAGGUAGCGAAAUUCCUUGUCAGGUAAGUUCUGACCCGC